AGAGACAGCAGCAGCCACGGUAAUACGUAGGUGGCAAGCGUUGUCCGGAAUUAUUGGGCGUAAAGGGCUCGCAGGCGGUUUCCUAAGUCUGAUGUGAAAGCCCCCGGCUCAACCGGGGAGGGUCAUUGGAAACUGGGAAACUUGAGUGCAGAAGAGGAGAGUGGAAUUCCACGUGUAGCGGUGAAAUGCGUAGAGAUGUGGAGGAACACCAGUGGCGAAGGCGACUCUCUGGUCUGUAACUGACGCUGAGGAGCGAAAGCGUGGGGAGCGAACAGGAUUAGAUACCCCGGUAGUCCCUGUCUCUUAUAC
rnacentral:rRNA from 1 species